GGUUGUGGCUCAGUGGUAGAGCACUUGCCUAGCACAUGUGAGGCACUGGGUUUGAUUCUCAGCACCA
rnacentral:tRNA from 1 species